GACGUAGGUGGCGAACGUUAUCCGGAUUUACUGGGCGUAAAGCGCGCGCAGGCGGCGGUGUAAGCAUGGCGUGAAAGCCCCAGGCUCAACCUGGGAGGGUCGUCGUGGACUGCACCGCUUGAGGGCGGUAGGGGCUGGUGGAAUGCCUGGUGUAGUGGUGAAAUGCGUAGAGAUCAGGCGGAACACCCGUGGCGAAGGCGGCCAGCUGGGCCGUCCCUGACGCUGAGGUGCGAGAGCGUGGGGAGCGAACCGG
rnacentral:rRNA from 1 species